UUAAAAAAGGCUAGCUGUUGUCAAAUAAAUUUUGUGAGCAGUUUUAAUACCGAGGGUGUGUCUUAUUUUGUGAGUUUUCAUUGGUUUGGAGUUUUUAGACCCUUCAUUGUUGACCAGUGGAAAACUUCCCGCCGAAGUGUUUCAAAUAGCACUUUGUCUUCAAACGAACAAGAUGGACACAUGCAGUUUACAGAAGCAAAAGAUUUGAUUUGAACUGUUCGUGAAACCACACAUACUCAAGGUACUUUCUGUGGCAUGUUUUCAUGGUGUGGGAAUAAGACUUGGUGGUCAAAUACAGCUAAUAUGUAGGUUAGCACCACAGCUUGUCUGCAAGGAUUGAAGCUGGGAAACGGCCAUUGGAGCUGAAUUUUAUGGAAGCUGUGGCUGCAGCAAUGAUUAUGUGAUAAAACUGAAGAAUGUUAUUCAAUUUUUUUGUGUAUAUAUUUCAAAAAAUGUAAUUUUUUAUAAAAAAAAAAAAAAAAAAAAAAAAAGGUGUAAAGAUUCUCCAUUUUCAAUUAGAUUGGAAGCUUGUAUUUACAAUUGUUAGAUCUUCUUCGUUAUUCCCCCACCCCCUGUAUCUCUAUUUCAUUUUUACUUUGAAAAUGAAAUGGAACAGACAAAUUUUACUUGUCAACUUAAUAAUGGUCUGUCUAGUCAAAAGCCUCCAGUUGGUUUAGAAUGGAGAAUCUAAAAAAAAUAUGUAAAGUGUUUUUUUUUAGUUUCCUGAAUUUUUAUAUACAUUUUGUUAUUGCUCCCUUUCAAUUUUUAUAAAUUCCAGAUUUUAAGUUUUAGAUUUAUGGGGCUUUAUUCAUAAAAAAGGGGGAUUUUUCACACCUGGACAAUAACUCAAAAAGGCUUUCACCAAUGUCCAUGAAACUUUGGUAAAUUGUUUAUAUCUAUUGACAUAAGCUCCCUUUCCCUUUUUAUUAAUUUUAGAUUUUACGUUUUCUUAAGUAAUGAAUUUUUAUACUUAAAAAAGGGGGAUUUUAUGCAGUUUUGGUGAAACUUAAAAGAGCAACGGCCGUAUCAUGUGCUAAAGCGCAUCCCUUUAUUGAAAUGUGUUGUAGUUUUUACAUAUUAUUAUUUCUUUAUUUUAAUUAUACAAAUUUUGUUUUGUUAAAUAUUUAAAGGGUGUGGAGUCUCAACAGUGAAAUUUUCAGGACAAAAGGGAGGUAAUUCCUUUGUUAUACUCAUUAUACUUGAAAUUUCCUGAGUGUUUAUAUGGAAUAUAACUUUUUUAAUUAAAAUAUUCACUUUUGUACACAUUUUCUUUAAAUAUCAGAUGUAUACUGGCUAAAAUUACUUUUAUUUAGAGUUCUGUAAAUAAAAAAAAAUGUAAGCAGAGCUCUAGCUAUAGAUAAUAGAUUUGGAGGGUGGGAGAAAUUGUGGGUAACUACAAUUGAUUAGGUGAAAUUUUAAAAGACUUAAAAAGUGCAUCUGAUAUUUAUUUUUACAUAAUGUUAUUUCUGAAAGCAAAUGGACAAUAAGAUGAGGACAUAAACCACCUUCCAGGUUAGGAUAGCAGCUCUUAAGGAAGAUGGUCAAUUAAAUCUUCAACCCAGUCUGAGGCCUUACCAUGAAAAAUAUGUGGUUGUUGAAAUUACAAUGUUUUCAUGAUGUGGGGAGUAAGACUUGAAUAUCUGAUAUUGUUAACAUGAUGGUUAGCAUCACAAGUUUCCUUUAAGUAACUUGCUUGAGGAGUAAAGAGAGCUGUUUAAGUUGAAAGUUACACCUUUGCUGCCUUGUGUGGUACAAUCUUCAGACAAUAUCCUGCAAACCGUGGCUGAACUGUUACUAUCUUUUUUUAGUAGAAUCCUUAGACAGUAAUCUUGUGGCAGAAUGAGUUGUAAACAAAUUGUUUUUAUUCCUGUAUUGAGUUUCAAAUUGGAUAUUUUUUUAUUUAUAUUAUUUGUAUUCCAUUUGCAUUCAAUUAUUGUUUUUUAAUUGAUGAAUCAUUAAAACUUAAAUUUUGCGGGGUCCUAAAGGACUUUCUUAGAGGGGGCCAGCGCAAUUGAUUAAACAAAAAUUUUCCCGCAACAGGGAGAGGAGACAUCCCCAUAAAUAUGCCUUUGAAAUGGGGUGUUAAAGAAGAUUUGUAUUGUUUGUUUGUACAUCAUCAGCUCUCAUCCACAGCUUGGUAGAUUUUCAUUGAAACUUUCAGCUGAUUUUCUGUACUAAAGGCAGUAUGUUUUUUAAUUUAUUAUAAUGAAAUUUUGGGUUUUCCCAACCUUUUUGAAUUGAAAACAAUGGAACACAGUGUUGGCAGAUACUGAAGAUUAUUUGAAAGUUUAGAGAAAGUCCCAUUUAAUCUUGAUAAUUGUGGGUUAAAGUUGUAGAUGGAUAAACAAACAUAUCAUACACUUACUCACUUUACCUAUUUGCGAAUCCAGAACUUAACAUAAAGGGGCCCCAACACCAGUCAUUUCCUGUACAAUCAACCAAAUUUUUCCUCCGAAAGGGGUUUGGGGGGGGGGGGGGAUAUUUAAUAAAGAUUAAUAUGCUUAGAAAUUUGGUGUGAGUAAAUAAACUUUACUUUUUAUUUUAAAACAGCAUGUGAUUAAAAAUAUGAAAUGAAUUGUUAAACAUAUCCUUGGUGAUCUAAUAAUUUUUUGCACAGAUCAAGAUAUUUAGUCUGGUGGAUCCAGAAAUUUUCCAGGAAUAUGGGGGGCAAUGACUGCUUCAGCAGGGCCCUGCUCCAGUCAUGUUUUAGUGAUUCCCUAAAUAUUAAACCAAAUUUUUCCCACUGAAGGGGGCCCUCUGAAAAAUCCUCUUAAUCCACGUCUCUGCUAUUUUGUUUUUUUAUAACCCAGUAAAUAAGUUGAGUUUGUUCUCAAAAAAUAAUUUGAUUCAUGUAUUUUUUAUUGUAGCAUAAACAUAGCUUUAAUUUCCUUUGUUUAAGAAUUGUAAUGUUUUUUUAAUGUCAUUUUUAAAAGUUGACACUAAUUGAGGAUUCUGUUGUUUAUGGAAUUCUUUUAUAAGUUUGGUUAGCAAUAAAAAGGUUUUUUUUAUUAAACAAAGAAUAAUUACUCUGUUUACAGAAUUUAAUACAUGUAUCAAAAAUUAGACAUGAUUUAAUUUAAUUCAUAAUGCUUAUUUAAUUGGAAAUUACAUUAGGAUUAUCUCCCCCUAAUUAGUAUUCAAAACAAUAUUAUAAAAACAACCCGGAAAAUAAAUAGAAUCCUCAGUAAUGUCAACAUUUAUUUUGUAUAAAUGUAAUAUUAUGCUAAUGAUACAAAACCCAUGAUGCAGAUCCUUUUCCUCCUUUUUAUUGUAGAGAUAAUUUACAGACGUGUCCAAAAUCAUAUCCCUAGAAUCAAUUUGUUUUUUGAUAUUCGUACACACCUAACAAAAGCAGAUUGUGUUUGGUUUCAUUUGGAUAUUUUGUAUCAUUGUGAUAUAUCAUAAUAAUUAUAAUUGGUAAAUAAAAUAUAUUUGAAAAACCA